CUACGUCCCUACCCUUUGUACAUACCGCCCGUCGCUCCUACCAAUUGAAUGGUCCGGUGAAGUGUUCGGAUCGCAGCGACGUGGGCGGUUUGCUGUCGGCGACAUUGUGAGAAGUCCACUGAACAUUAUCAUUUAGAGGAAGGAGAAGUCGUAACAAGGUUUCCGUAGGUAAACCUGUGGAAGGAUCAUUGUCGAUGUCGCACAAACAAAACCCUAAAACCCUGGCGCCCUGUCUCAAAUAAGAACAAAACCCUGGCGCGAAAAGUGCCAAGGAAGCCAAACGUUUCUGCUUUCUCCACCGACUCCGGAGACGGCAUUUGGUUAGGGCGACGAGUGACCACAAGAGUUAAGAACAACUCUCGGCAACGGAUAUAUCCACGUCGUGCGCCACACCAGGUCUGGCCUAGCGUUAGGCCGCGCACGCCGCGUUACCCCUUACGGUGGCGCAUAGGACGCCCGCCGUUUCCACGUCGUGUUCGAGUGAGAGCAUGCCUGUCGGGACCCGAAAGAUGGUGAACUAUGCUUGUGCGGGACGAAGCCAGAGGAAACUCUAGUGGAGGCCCGCAACGAUACUGACGUGCAAAUCGUUCGUCUGACUUGGGUAUAUGGGCGAAAGACUAAUCGAACCGUCUAGUAGCUGGUUCCGUCCGAAGUUUUCCUCAGGAUAGCUAGAGCUCACGGGCGAGUUCUAUAGGGUAAAGCCAAUUAUUUGAGGCAUCGGGGGCGCAACGCCCUCGACCUAUUCUCAAACUUUAAAUAGGUAGGACGGCACGACUGCCCUGUUGAGCCGUGCCACAGAAUCAAGAGCUCUAAGUGGGCCAUUUUUGGUAAGCAGAACUGGCGAUGCGAGAUGAACUGAAAGUCGGGUUACGGUGCCCAACUACGCACUAACCUAGACCCCACAAAGGGCGAUGGUCGAUUAAGACAGCAGGAUGGUGGUCAUGGAAGUCGAAAUCCUCUAAGGAGUGUUUAACAACUCACCUGCCGAAUCAACUAGCCCCGAAAAUGGAUGGCACUGAAGCGCGAGACCUAUACCCGGCCGUCGAGGCAAGAGCUAUGCCACGAUGAGUAGGAAGGCACGGUGAUCGCUGCAAAACCUAUAGCGCGAGCCCGGGCGGAGCAGCCAUCGGUGCAGAUCUUGAUGGUAGUAGCAAAUAUUCAAAUGAAAACUUUGAAGGCCGAAGAGGGGAAAGGUUCCAUGUGAACGACACUUGCACAUGGGUUAGUGGAUCCUAAGGGAUGGGGGAAGCAUGUCUUAUAGCGCCGCUGGCGCGUACUCCGAAAGGGAAUCGGGUUAAAAUUCCUGAACUGGAAUGUGGUGGCUGACGACAAAGUUAGGGAGUCCAGAGACGUCGGCGGUGGCCUCGGGAAGAGUUCUCUUUUCUGUAUAAUAGCCUGGCCACCUUGAAAAUGGCUCAGUCGGAGGUAGGGUCCAGCAGCUGGAAGAGCACCGCACAUCGCGUGGUGUCCGGUGCACCCCCGGCAGCCCUUGAAAAUUCGGAGGACUGAGUGCCUAUCACGUCCGGUCGUACUCAUAACCGCAUUAGGUCUCCAAGGUGAAUAGCCUAUGGUCGAUGGAACAAUGUAGGCAAGGAAAGUCAGCAAAAUGGAUCCGUAACCUCGGGAAAAAGGAUUGGCUCUGAGGGCUGGGCACGGGGCCCCAGCCCCGAACCCGUCGACUGUCGGUGGACUGCUCGAGCUGCUCUCGUGACGAGAGCUGGUCGUCGUCUGCCGGUCGGGGGACGGAUUGGGAAUGAGCCCCUUGGGGCCUCUUCCCUAGGCAUCGAACAGUCGACUCAGAACUGGUACGGACAAGAGGAAUCCGAUUGUUUAAUUAAAACAAAGCAUUGCGAUGGUCCCUGUAGAUGUUGACGCAAUGUGAUUUCUGCCCAGUGCUCUGAAUGUCAAAGUGAAGAAAUUCAACCAAGCGCGGGUAAACGGCGGGAGUAACUAUGACUUUUUCCUGUAUAAUAGCCUGGCCACCUUGAAAAUGGCUCAGUCGGAGGUAGGGUCCAGCAGCUGGAAGAGCACCGCACAUCGCGUGGUGUCCGGUGCACCCCCGGCAGCCCUUGAAAAUUCGGAGGACUGAGUGCCUAUCACGUCCGGUCGUACUCAUAACCGCAUUAGGUCUCCAAGGUGAAUAGCCUAUGGUCGAUGGAACAAUGUAGGCAAGGAAAGUCAGCAAAAUGGAUCCGCAACCUCGGGAAAAGGAUUGGCUCUGAGGGCUGGGCACGGGCCCCAGCCCCGAACCCGUCGGCUGUCGGUGGACUGCUCGAGCUGCUCUCGUGACGAGAGCUGGUCGUCGUCUGCCGGUCGGGGGACGGAUAGGGAAUGAGCCCCUUGGGGCCUCUUCCCUAGGCAUCGAACAGUCGACUCAGAACUGGUACGGACAAGAGGAAUCCGAUUGUUUAAUUAAAACAAAGCAUUGCGAUGGUCCCUGUAGAUGUUGACGCAAUGUGAUUUCUGCCCAGUGCUCUGAAUGUCAAAGUGAAGAAAUUCA
rnacentral:rRNA from 1 species